AUAGAUGUGACAAUAGGCAAGUUUCACCAAGUAAAGCUCAUAGCUCUCGAUGAGAUUUUUGGUUCUUACAAGUCACAAUUUGAAAAGCUCUAUUACUACAUUCAGGAGUUGAGAUCUAUUAAGCCUAGUACAACCAUUACAGUAGGAAUGCAUAAAAUGAAUCUAAAAUAGGGUUAGAAAAUUGGCUAUAUAUUGAUUAUUGAACUCGAUGGAUGUUUCUUACGAAGAUUAUAAAUAGUUAAUUCUUUCUAUGACUGGUAGAGAUGGGGACAACCACAAAUUCUCAAUUGCGUGGGUUAUGGUCAUGGUGGAAUAAAAAAAAGACAUAGAGAUGG
rnacentral:lncRNA from 1 species